rnacentral:lncRNA from 1 species
UUUGUAUUUUUAGUAGAGACGGGGUUUCACCAUAUUGGCCAGGCUGGUCUCGAACUCCUGACCUUGUGAUCCGCCCACCUUGGUGAGGAAAUGCUUCAGAUGAGGCUCCACCUUGUUAAAUAAAUUGGAUGUAUGGAAAAAUAGACUGCAGAAAAGGGGAACUCAUUUAGCUCACGAGUGGUCGAGUGAAGAUUGAAAAUUAACCUCUGAGGGCCAGCACAGCAGCUCAUGCCUGUAAUCCUAGCACUUUGGAAGGCUGAGGAGGGCGGAUCACAAGGUCAGGAGAUCAAGACCAUCCUGGCUAACACGGUGAAACCCCGUCUCUACUAAAAAUACAAAAAAUAAAAAAUUAGCCGGGCAUGGUGACGGGCACCUGUAGUCCCAGCUACUCGGGAGGCUGAGGCAGGAGAAUGGCAUGAACCCGGAAGGCAGAGCUUGCAGUGAGCCGAGAUCACGCCACUGCACUCCAGCCUGGGAGACAGAGCGAGACUCUGUCUCAAG